rnacentral:lncRNA from 1 species
CAUAACUUUGUCAUCCCAACUUGGUGAUUAUUAACAAAGUAAACUUAAAAGUAUAAGGAAACACUUGGGAACGACGACCUAUUUCCCCCUCGAAACUUUCGUAUACGACCAGUUCCACCCACACUUUCAGCCUCCCUUUGCAUCCCCCUAAAAAUAAAGUUCCACAAUUUUUUCCCCCUACAUCGAAAAUUCGAAGACUUUUUCCCCAUAAAAUUAAAGUUCGAUACUUAUUUACACAUCGAACUGGGUUAGUGUCGGUUUAUCAUAGACCAAUCUCAUCUUAACCAUCAUAAUCAAUUUUAAACCAAUAAUAAAUCAAUUUUUCUUAAACCUAACCGAUUAAAACAAAAAAAAAAUCAAAAAAUCCCCAAAUCAAAAAAUCCCUAAAUCGAUUUCAUCUUCUUCUACGAACCCUAAUCCCCAAUAUCCCCAAAUCAUCUUCCCAACUCUUGUUCUUCUCUGAUUCAGUUUUG